rnacentral:rRNA from 1 species
AACGAACGCUGGCGGCAGGCCUAACACAUGCAAGUCGAACGCCGUAGCAAUACGGAGUGGCAGACGGGUGAGUAACACGUGGGAACGUACCCUUCGGUUCGGAAUAACUCAGGGAAACUUGAGCUAAUACCGGAUACGUCCGAGAGGAGAAAGAUUUGUCGCCAAAGGAUGGGCCCGCGUCUGAUUAGCUUGUUGGUGCGGUAACGGCUCACAAAGCCGACGAUCAGUAGCUGGUCUGAGGGGAUGAUCAGCCACAUUGGGACUGAGACACGGCCCAAACUCCUACGGGAGGCAGCAGUGGGGAAUAUUGGACAAUGGGGGCAACCCUGUUCCAGCCAUGCCGCGUGAGUGAUGAAGGCCUUAGGGUUGUAAAGCUCUUUUACCUGGGAAGAUAAUGACGGUACCUGAAGAAUAAGCACCGGCUAACUACGUGCCAGCAGCCGCCGUAA